rnacentral:misc_RNA from 13 species
UGAUGUAGGUUUCAGAAAAACAUUUUCUUUAUCGUGCCAACGUUUCGAUCUUUAUUGAGAUCAUCUUCACAUGAUCGAAACGUUGGCACGAUAAAGAAAAUGUUUUUCUGAAACCUACAUC